GGGCGGGGCUAUACAUGCAAGUCGAGCGGAGAUUUGAAAAGCUUGCUUUUCAAUCUUAGCGGCGGACGGGUGAGUAACACGUGGGCAACCUGCCCUUGAGACGGGGAUAACUCCGGGAAACCGGAGCUAAUACCGGAUAACACAUAUCUUCGCAUGAGGAUAUGUUAGAAGGUGGCUUUUAGCUACCACUCAAGGAUGGGCCCGCGGCGCAUUAGCUAGUUGGUGAGGUAACGGCUCACCAAGGCGACGAUGCGUAGCCGACCUGAGAGGGUGAUCGGCCACACUGGGACUGAGACACGGCCCAGACUCCUACGGGAGGCAGCAGUAGGGAAUCUUCCGCAAUGGACGAAAGUCUGACGGAGCAACGCCGCGUGAGUGAUGAAGGUUUUCGGAUCGUAAAGCUCUGUUGUUAGGGAAGAACAAGUACCUGUUAAAUAAGCAGGUACCUUGACGGUACCUAACCAGAAAGCCACGGCUAACUACGUGCCAGCAGCCGCGGUAAUACGUAGGUGGCAAGCGUUGUCCGGAAUUAUUGGGCGUAAAGCGCGCGCAGGCGGUUCCUUAAGUCUGAUGUGAAAGCCCACGGCUCAACCGUGGAGGGUCAUUGGAAACUGGGGAACUUGAGUGCAGAAGAGGAGAGCGGAAUUCCACGUGUAGCGGUGAAAUGCGUAGAGAUGUGGAGGAACACCAGUGGCGAAGGCGGCUCUCUGGUCUGUAACUGACGCUGAGGCGCGAAAGCGUGGGGAGCGAACAGGAUUAGAUACCCUGGUAGUCCACGCCGUAAACGAUGAGUGCUAAGUGUUAGAGGGUUUCCGCCCUUUAGUGCUGCAGCAAACGCAUUAAGCACUCCGCCUGGGGAGUACGGUCGCAAGACUGAAACUCAAAGGAAUUGACGGGGACCCGCACAAGC
rnacentral:rRNA from 2 species